rnacentral:rRNA from 1 species
UGGGGAAUAUUGGACAAUGGGCGAAAGCCUGAUCCAGCCAUGCCGCGUGUGUGAAGAAGGUCUUCGGAUUGUAAAGCACUUUAAGUUGGGAGGAAGGGCAGUAAGCGAAUACCUUGCUGUUUUGACGUUACCGACAGAAUAAGCACCGGCUAACUCUGUGCCAGCAGCCGCGGUAAUACAGAGGGUGCAAGCGUUAAUCGGAAUUACUGGGCGUAAAGCGCGCGUAGGUGGUUCGUUAAGUUGAAUGUGAAAGCCCCGGGCUCAACCUGGGAACUGCAUCCAAAACUGGCGAGCUAGAGUAGGGCAGUGGGUGGUGGAAUUUCCUGUGUAGCGGUGAAAUGCGUAGAUAUAGGAAGGAACACCAGUGGCGAAGGCGACCACCUGGGCUCAUACUGACACUGAGGUGCGAAAGCGUGGGGAGCAAACAGG